UUGUUUGUAAGUUUUUUAUUUAUUUUAAAACAGAAUUUAUGGAACGUUUACAAAGCUUUGGUGAAGCUGUGGCUACACUGCUACAGUCUCAAAAGAUUCUGAGUCGUUUCUUCCUCUUCAAUGCUUCGAGCUAGUUCACAACUAAAUUGUACAUACAGUUUUUGAUUAACAGUUCUAAAAUAUAAUUAUAUAUGGGCCACAUAACUUUGACAUGUUUUGCGCCUCGGAAAAGUUUCGGGAUGGCACUGGUGGUAACUUUGGUUCAUUAAACAGAGAUAUCAUCAUGAUGGCCAACAAAAGAAACAUAAAUAUCACUUAUUCAUUACAAACUGCAAUACUGUAAAUACCCAUAACCCAUAUACACAAAUACAUCCCCUUAUUUUAUUUGAUAAUAAUUCAUGUGACCAAAUUCUCUCAUGGACGACAAUAAGGUGGGUAGAAACAUUGAGGAGGAACAGGAACAGGAUAAGGUCCGUACGUUUGAGGCGGAUAAUCAGUUAACUUCCUACCUGUAUAUCAUAACCAUAUUACUUAAUAAUACUGCCACUGUUGAUACGAAACCAAUGAUUCAUCAAGAUUUGAUUUGAUAUAAUAUGUUUAUAUGAUGAUGUAUGUGGAAACGUACCUGUAGGAAAGGUUCGAGCCUGGGAGAUUAUGAAAAGCGCCACGAAUGAGAAAAGCAUCACCGCAAGGAGCUUCGAUGAACUUGGCAUAUUAGCCAUUAGUAUGUAGUAUCUUUUUGUCUGUCUUGUUUACAAGACUUGGAAGCCUGAGUCAAGUGAGCUCUGAGUGAUUAGGUAUUUAUAGACUAAUAUUGAGAUAAAAAUAAAUUUUCUUAAUUUACAUUUAAUACCCUUAUGGCCUUCCUUAUCGUUAGUGGUUCCACCUCAUCUGCUCAGAACCUCCU
rnacentral:lncRNA from 1 species